rnacentral:rRNA from 1 species
CCGGACCCGACUGCUAUUUGGGUGAGGAUAAGCCAUGCGAGUUGAAUGGGAAACCUAAAGUUCCCGUGGCAAACUGCUCAGUAACACAUGAUCGACUUACCCUAUAGAGAAAAAUAACCUCGGGAAACUGAGGAUAAUGUUUCAUAGUUGAAUUGGCUUGGAAAAGUUUUUCGACGAAAGGGGUAAAAAAAAUGGUUUUUAUCUGCUAUAGGAUAGGAUCGUGUUCGAUUAUGGUUGUUGGUGAGGUAAUGGCUCACCAAGCCGAUAAUCGAUAGGGGCCGUGAGAGCGGGAGCCCCGAGAUGGGUACUGAGACAACGACCCAGGCCUUACGAGGCGCAGCAGGCGCGAAACCUCCGCAAUACACGAAAGUGUGACGGGGUUACCCAAAGUGUUCAAUUUUGAACUGUGGUAGGUGAGUAAUGUUCCCUACUAGAAAGGAGAGGGCAAGGCUGGUGCCAGCCGCCGCGGUAAAACCAGCUCUUCAAGUGGUCGGGAUAAUUAUUGGGCUUAAAGUGUCCGUAGCCGGUUUAGUAAGUUCCUGGUAAAAUCGGGUAGCUUAACUAUCUAUAUGCUAGGAAUACUACUAUACUAGAGGGCGGGAGAGGUCUGAGGUACUGCAGGGGUAGGGGUGAAAU